GCCUCUCCUAGCCCCCCUGCCCUCUGCUCCAGCCCUGCCGGCCGGCUCCUGCCAGCUCCCCUCCCUCCUCCUGCAGCCUGGCCAGGGCUGGCCCCAGCGGGUAGGCAGGCAUCGCCCCCUUGGACUUAGUAUUUUCUAGAAACCACCUUGAGGAUCUCAGUUUGUUGGCUACAGGGGUUGGGGUUUGCCCGGCCCCAGAGGGAAAGGGAAGCUUUCCCCGGGGCACAGACCUGCAUGUGUUCUCUGUCAGUCUUUGCAUCCAGUGUUUCUCAGACUUGAGCGGACCUCAGAACCAUCCAGAGGGCUUGUUACAACCCAGGCUCCUGGGCCCCCCCUCCAGGUCUCUAGGGUGCAGCCUGAGCAUCAGCUCUCUGACAAGCUCACAGGUAACACCAGUGUUUAGGAUCCUGCAUCUCGUUUUGAGUUGCGUAGACUCUAGUUCAUUCUCCCUCCAAAGUCCUCCCCUCUCGGACUCCAGUGUAGCCACCCCAGUCCGGCCACCGUCAUCUUCUGUGGCCUGUAUAUCGUUUCUUUCCUGACUGUCCCUCUGCUUCUUUUUUUUCUUUUUCUGUCUUUUUUCCAUAAGUGCCCGUGGCAUAUGAAAGUUCCCAGGCUUAGGGGUUGGAUCAGAGCUGUAGCUGCCAGCUUACCCCACAGUCACAGCAACGCUGGAUGCGUGCUGCAUCUGCGAACUACACGGAAGCUCAUGGCAACACCUGAUCCUUAACCCUCUGAGCGAGGCCAGGGGUCGAACCUGUGUCCUCAUGAAUACUAGUCGGGAUGGUUACUGCUGAGCCACAACAGGAGCUCCUGUCCCUCUGUUUCUACUGCAGAGCCACACUGCAGCUUAACCCACACCCCCCUCCUUGCCCCCGGCAGCCUCUUACUCUGAGGAAACCCCGAGUGGCCCAGCCCUGCCAUCACCCAAUCUCAUCUGGUUGCUCUCUGGCCCAGCACCCCAGUUCCCUAACUCUUGAUGCUAUGGUUCUUCCUCCUGGAACACUCUUCCUCCAGCUCUUUGAAAGGCUGCUUCCUGUCAUCCCACCUUUAGUCACCUGCUCAGCCCACUGCGUCCCCUAGGCCCCUUCCCUGGCCUCUGGGAUUCUGAGUCACUGACGCCAUUGAUGUCCACUGUGGUACCAACCACAGUCUUUAAACAGUUUUUGUUGAUUUCUCUUGCUUCUUGUUUUGGGUAUGUCUCCUCCACUAGACGGUAGAAGCUGUGACUUUGUCCUUCUUGUUCUCUGUGUGGUUCGAUGCUUAGUGGGUGGUUUGUAAGUAUUCUUGAAUGAAUGGAAAUUGAAUGAAUGCCUGAUGCAGACUGUAGAUGGUCAGGUCAAGGCUGAGCCUCAUGGUCUGAACUUGCCAGGGACUGCAAGUUUGAACCCUUUGUUGUGGAAGAUAGUGUCCCUGUCAGUAUUGACCAGAACCGGGCAGUUCCAGAAGCUGGAUAUGAUAGGAAAAAUGCUAAUUGCUAAUCAUAAAAUAAUCCGAGCUUUCUGUAUGCUUGCAGGGUGUCAGGCACUACUUUGUGUACUUUGUCUUCAUUUUACAGAAGAGAAGACUUCUUAGCAUGGAGACGCUAAGAAACUUGUUUCCCAGGCAGUAGGUAGGGGAUCCUGGAUUCAAAUCCAGAUGCCACAACUUCAGAGUCUACACAGUUAACUCCUGUGUCAUUCUGGGGGAGGCCGUGAUGGAGAAGGGAGAGAAGAGAUGGUCUUUGUACUUGCCCCCUUUGUAUAAAGCUUCUGUGCCAAGUGAUGCAGUGAAAUUCUCUGGGUGGAUGGGUAGGUGGACGUAACUGGUUCUGGUCACAGUUAACCUUCACUAGCCUGUCCCACAUCAGAGAAUAUGAACUCAAGUUCAUGGGCCCAGAGGUCAGGGCUCCUGAGGCUGAGUUACUGUUUGCCUGGCAAUGCCAGAGCUAUUUGGAAUCUUGUUCCAUUUGGUGGCUGACACCUGCCCCCUCCCCAGGACAGCUGUAAUCCCCAACUGGUGGUGUGCCUGUAGGCGAGCCGUGGACCGAGGAGCUGGUGGCUGGCUGGGGACCACCGGAUGGGAGAGAAGAGGCUGUGCGCUCCCCUUCUGUCUGGCCCAGGCCUUGCUGGCAAAGGACUGGGGGCUUCAAGCAGCACCUUUC
ensembl:lncRNA